AGUGAGGGCUGGAGUGUGGUGUACCAGGGAGGUCUGGUAUAGAGGCACUGAGGGCAGGAGUGUGGGGUGUCCGCGAGGUCUGGUAUAGGGGCAGUGAGGGCUGGAGUGUGGUGUACCAGGGAGGUCUAGUAUAGAGGCACUGAGAUCAGGAGUGUGGGGUGUCCGCGAGGUCUGGUAUAGGGGCAGUGAGGGCUGGAGUGUGG